GGUAGUCCACGCCGUAAACGAUGUCGACUUGGAGGUUGUGCCCUUGAGGCGUGGCUUCCGGAGCUAACGCGUUAAGUCGACCGCCUGGGGAGUACGGCCGCAAGGUUAAAACUCAAAUGAAUUGACGGGGGCCCGCACAAGCGGUGGAGCAUGUGGUUUAAUUCGAUGCAACGCGAAGAACCUUACCUACUCUUGACAUCCAGAGAACUUUCCAGAGAUGGAUUGGUGCCUUCGGGAACUCUGAGACAGGUGCUGCAUGGCUGUCGUCAGCUCGUGUUGUGAAAUGUUGGGUUAAGUCCCGCAACGAGCGCAACCCUUAUCCUUUGUUGCCAGCGGUCCGGCCGGGAACUCAAAGGAGACUGCCAGUGAUAAACUGGAGGAAGGUGGGGAUGACGUCAAGUCAUCAUGGCCCUUACGACCAGGGCUACACACGUGCUACAAUGGCGCAUACAAAGAGAAGCAAUCUCGCGAGAGCUAGCGGACCUCAUAAAGUGCGUCGUAGUCCGGAUUGGAGUCUGCAACUCGACUCCAUGAAGUCGGAAUCGCUAGUAAUCGUGAAUCAGAAUGUCACGGUGAAUACGUUCCCGGGCCUUGUACACACCGCCCGUCACACCAUGGGAGUGGGUUGCAAAAGAAGUAGGUAGCUUAACCUUCGGGAGGGCGCUUACCACUUUGUGAUUCAUGACUGGGGUGAAGUCGUAACAAGGUAACC
rnacentral:rRNA from 1 species